rnacentral:rRNA from 1 species
UACGAAGGGGGCUAGCGUUGCUCGGAAUCACUGGGCGUAAAGGGUGCGUCGGCGGGUCUUUAAGUCCGGGGUGAAAUCCUGGAGCUCAACUCCAGAACUGCCUUUGAUACUGAAGAUCUUGAGUUCGGGAGAGGUGAGUGGAACUGCGAGUGUAGAGGUGAAAUUCGUAGAUAUUCGCAAGAACACCAGUGGCGAAGGCGGCUCACUGGCCCGAUACUGACGCUGAGGCACGAAAGCGUGGGGAGCAAACAGG